UACGUAGGGGCCGAGCGUUGUCCGGAGUUAUUGGGCGUAAAGCGCGCGCAGGCGGCUUCGCGCGCCCGACGUGAAAGCCCCCGGCUUAACCGGGGAGAGUCGUUGGGGACGGCGGGGCUUGAGGGCGGGAGAGGUCGGUGGAAUUCCCGGUGUAGUGGUGAAAUGCGUAGAGAUCGGGAGGAACACCUGUGGCGAAGGCGGCCGACUGGGCCGACCCUGACGCUGAUGCGCGAAGGCGUGGGGAGCGAACGGG
rnacentral:rRNA from 1 species